GCCUUCGAGUUUCUCUCAGCAAGACCUCUAACUCUAAGGAAUUAAAAGAUAAUCAUGAUGAACCUUGACUGAAAGACAGGAUGAGGCCGCCGAGGAAUCAACACCUUCUGGCUUCUUUGAGCACCAGGAAUAGCAUAUGCUGCACAGACAUACAUACAGGUUCUCCACUGAGGCCCAGUGGUCUUUACAUGCAACAUCUGUAUCUCUGUCCACACUCCACUAUACCUCCAGGAUGUCCUCCUUCGACUGAGAAGAGCCCUGUCCUACAAGCAUGCUAAGCACCAGGCCGGUUGCUCUUACCUGCCUCCCUCAGAUGAGCCGACUCCCAGGUAAGUCCUGUUACUUCCUGGUCUCUCUUGCGGUAUGAGGUCUCA